CCGCUAGAAGGGGAUGCGCAUGCGGAGUGGGAGGGAGGGAGGAAUUCCGGGGAGGACGCAUGCGCAUUUAUCCUUAUUGUGGUUGGGGAGCGGCAGCCUGUGCUGUGGGUGAGGUAGGAGUCUGGUGUUAGGAGGCAGCUAUGCGGGCUUAUGUGCAAAUGAUAUGGGGAAAUUGCUUUGGUCAGUGAACAAAUACCACAGAAAUCAUAUAAAUCUGAACCUUGUCACAUGAUAUUGACCAGAAGAAAAUAGCCACACUUGUAAAGAAGAUUGCUUGGUAGUUUAUUUACAACAGAAUGUAAGGAAAAAGAUCAAUGGCAAAGUCUGAGAUCUGCUUCCUGCUACUGGAGACCGCACUUAGCAUGAAAGGACAGGGAUAUAGUAAGGGU